AAAUAGAUACCCGGGUAGUCCACGCCGUAAACGAUGUCGACUUGGAGGUUGUUCCCUUGAGGAGUGGCUUCCGGAGCUAACGCGUUAAGUCGACCGCCUGGGGAGUACGGCCGCAAGGUUAAAACUCAAAUGAAUUGACGGGGGCCCGCACAAGCGGUGGAGCAUGUGGUUUAAUUCGAUGCAACGCGAAGAACCUUACCUACUCUUGACAUCCAGAGAACUUAGCAGAGAUGCUUUGGUGCCUUCGGGAACUCUGAGACAGGUGCUGCAUGGCUGUCGUCAGCUCGUGUUGUGAAAUGUUGGGUUAAGUCCCGCAACGAGCGCAACCCUUAUCCUUUGUUGCCAGCGGUUAGGCCGGGAACUCAAAGGAGACUGCCAGUGAUAAACUGGAGGAAGGUGGGGAUGACGUCAAGUCAUCAUGGCCCUUACGAGUAGGGCUACACACGUGCUACAAUGGCGCAUACAAAAGAGAAGCGAACCUCGCGAGAGGCAAGCGGACCUCAUAAAGUGCGUCGUAGUCCGGAUUGGAGUCUGCUAAC
rnacentral:rRNA from 1 species